GAGCCCUGGCCCUGGAAUGACAGCUCACAGUUUGAAUUUUGUUCUACGAAUGUGUGAGACAUAAAGGAACACGUGAGCUCAUCAUAUCUGCUGCUGCGUACACUGGAACAGAGGUCAAGAACAUCCAUCCCGCUCUUCUGCACAGUGAACAAAGAGAAACAGAGACAAACAGGGCCCAAGAUCUAAGGGAAUACUGAGUAUGCACACGGGAGCGAUUGGCAAGAUCUAAAUGGAGAGAACUUGAGAGAGCCUUCAGCCAUUGAGCCCUAGUGACAAGGAUGGGCUCCAUCCCCUGAGGACGGUUUGUGAUGGUUCUGAGAUAAACCUCAAAUCCAUUUUUAGAGAACCUUCUCCACGAGGAAGAUAUCCU
rnacentral:lncRNA from 1 species